GAGGUGCUUGCACCUUAUCUUAGCGGCGGACGGGUGAGUAAUGCUUAGGAAUCUGCCUAUUAGUGGGGGACAACAUUCCGAAAGGAAUGCUAAUACCGCAUACGUCCUACGGGAGAAAGCAGGGGAUCUUCGGACCUUGCGCUAAUAGAUGAGCCUAAGUCGGAUUAGCUAGUUGGUGGGGUAAAGGCCUACCAAGGCGACGAUCUGUAGCGGGUCUGAGAGGAUGAUCCGCCACACUGGGACUGAGACACGGCCCAGACUCCUACGGGAGGCAGCAGUGGGGAAUAUUGGACAAUGGGGGGAACCCUGAUCCAGCCAUGCCGCGUGUGUGAAGAAGGCCUUAUGGUUGUAAAGCACUUUAAGCGAGGAGGAGGCUACUGAGACUAAUACUCUUGGAUAGUGGACGUUACUCGCAGAAUAAGCACCGGCUAACUCUGUGCCGCAGCCGCGGUAAUACAGAGGGUGCGAGCGUUAAUCGGAUUUACUGGGCGUAAAGCGUGCGUAGGCGGCUUUUUAAGUCGGAUGUGAAAUCCCCGACUUAACUUGGGAAUUGCAUUCGAUACUGGGAAGCUAGAGUAUGGGAGAGGAUGGGUAGAAUUCC
rnacentral:rRNA from 1 species